AGACCCGAAACCCGGUGAUCUAGCCAUGGGCAGGUUGAAGGUUGGGUAACACUAACUGGAGGACCGAACCGACUAAUGUUGAAAAAUUAGCGGAUGACCUGUGGCUGGGGGUGAAAGGCCAAUCAAACCGGGAGAUAGCUGGUUCUCCCCGAAAGCUAUUUAGGUAGCGCCUCGUGAAUUCAUCUCCGGGGGUAGAGCACUGUUUCGGCUAGGGGGCCAUCCCGGCUUACCAACCCGAUGCAAACUGCGAAUACCGGAGAAUGUUAUCACGGGAGACACACGGCGGGUGCUAACGUCCGUCGUGAAGAGGGAAACAACCCAGACCGCCAGCUAAGGUCCCAAAGUCAUGGUUAAGUGGGAAACGAUGUGGGAAGGCCCAGACAGCCAGGAUGUUGGCUUAGAAGCAGCCAUCAUUUAAAGAAAGCGUAAUAGCUCACUGGUCGAGUCGGCCUGCGCGGAAGAUGUAACGGGGCUAAACCAUGCACCGAAGCUGCGGCAGCGACACUUUAGUGUUGUUGGGUAGGGGAGCGUUCUGUAAGCCGUUGAAGGUGUCCUGUGAGGGGUGCUGGAGGUAUCAGAAGUGCGAAUGCUGACAUAAGUAACGAUAAAGCGGGUGAAAAGCCCGCUCGCCGGAAGACCAAGGGUUCCUGUCCAACGUUAAUCGGGGCAGGGUGAGUCGACCCCUAAGGCGAGGCCGAAAGGCGUAGUCGAUGGGAAACGGGUUAAUAUUCCCGUACUUGGUGUUACUGCGAAGGGGGGACGGAGAAGGCUAUGUUGGCCGGGCGACGGUA
rnacentral:rRNA from 2 species